rnacentral:rRNA from 1 species
CCACGGCUGAACCAGCAACUUGGAAGAAUGUAUAGCGAAAGCUAGUAAUGCUAGGGAAAAUCCUGGUACUAAUAUCGAUUUACUCGAAUAAAGUUCUGGGCAAAAUUUGACAAUGACAAUUUUUGUCCAUGAGUCUUGACAAAAAUACGUGCCAGCAGUCGCGGUAAUACGUAAGAGACAAGUGUUAUUCAUCUUUAAUAGGUUAAAAGGGUACCUAGACAGUAAACUAAGCCUGUAUAGGUACUAGUUUUCUAGAGUUAAUUAUGAGGGGGCUAUUAGGUACUGGUGGUGUAGAGAUGAAAUUCUUUGAUACCUUUAUUUGCAAGAAUAGUAACAUGGCACAGACUAAGGCGAAGGCCUCUCCUUAUGUUAUAACUGACGUUGAGGGACGAAGGCUCCAUUUAGCUAAAAGGAUUAGGUACCCAAGUAGUUGGUAGCAGACAAUUAUGAGUGCUAUAGAUUAGAAAAUUAUUUCCUCUAUAAGCGAUAGCGUAAGCACUCCACCUCAAGAGUAAUUUGGCAACAUUGGAACUGAAAUCAUUAGACCGUUUCUGAAACCAGUAGUGAAGUAUGUUAUUUAAUUUGAUGAUCCACAAAAAACCUUACCACAGUUUACUUAGAGUAUAUUCUCUAAUGUUGAGACACAUGAAUGUUUAUGAUUUAAUAUAAAUACAAGCGUUGCACGGCUGUCUUUAGUUAAUGUCGUAAGACUUUGGUUAGUUCCAUAAAUUAACGCAAACCCUUACUCUAUUUUUAUAUAAAGUUGUUCUCCACUAUAUUGGAUAAGAUAACAGGGAUUAAGACAAGUCAUCAUGGCCUUCA